UAUGCCCUUCUCUACGGAAUAGCCUCGGGAAACUGAGAGUAAUACCGUAUACGCCCUUCGGGGGAAGAUUUAUCGGAGAAGGAUUAGCCCGCGUUGGAUUAGGUAGGUUGGUGGGGUAAUGGCCUACCAAGCCGACGAUCCAUAGCUGGUUUGAGAGGAUGAUCAGCCACACUGGGACUGAGACACGGCCCAGACUCCUACGGGAGGCAGCAGUGGGGAAUCUUAGACAAUGGGGGCAACCCUGAUCUAGCCAUGCCGCGUGAGUGACGAAGGUCUUAGGAUCGUAAAGCUCUUUCGCCAGGGAAGAUAAUGACGGUACCUGGUAAAGAAGUCCCGGCUAACUCCGUGCCAGCAGCCGCGGUAAUACGGAGGGGACUAGCGUUGUUCGGAAUUACUGGGCGUAAAGCGCACGUAGGCGGAUUAGAAAGUAUGGGGUGAAAUCCCAGGGCUCAACCCUGGAACUGCCUCAUAAACUUCUAGUCUUGAGUUCGAGAGAGGUGAGUGGAAUUCCGAGUGUAGAGGUGAAAUUCGUAGAUAUUCGGAGGAACACCGUGGCGAAGGGCGGGCUUCACUGGGCUCAGAUUACUGAACGCUGAGGUGCGAAAGGCGUUGGGGGAGCAAACAGGGAUUAGGAUUACCCCUGGUAGUCCACGCCGUAAAACGAUUGAAAUGCCAGACGUUCGGGGUAGCAUGCUAUUUCGGGUGACACACCUAAACGGGAUUAAAGCAUUCCGCCUGGGGAAGUAACGGUCGCAAAGAUUUAAAACUCAAAAGGAAAUUUGACGGGGGCCCGCACAAGCGGUGGGAGCAUGUGGUUUAAUUUCGAAGCGAC
rnacentral:rRNA from 1 species